GAUGAACGCUGGCGGCGUGCCUAAUACAUGCAAGUAGGACGCAGUUGCGAACGGGGGAGUAACGCGUGUGUAACUACCUACUAGAGGGGGGUAACUAUUGGAAACGAUAGCUAAUACCGCAUACUAGUAGAUGGACCUGCGUUGUAUUAGGUAGUAGGUAGGGUAAUGGCCUACCUAGGCAACGAUACAUAGCCGGCCCGGGAGGGUGAUCGGCCAAACUGGGAAUGAGGACCGGGCCAGACUCCUACGGGAAGGAACAGGUGGGGAACUUCGGCAAUGGGGGGAAACCUGAACGAGCAACGCCGCGGGAGUGAAGAAGGUUUUCGGAUUGUAAAGCUCUGUUGUUAAGGAAGCGGUACUUAACCAGAAAGGGACGGCUAACUACGUGCCAGCAGCCGCGGUAAUAC
rnacentral:rRNA from 1 species